GGUAUGUAGAAAAAACAUUUAAAGCUGUGUCUAUGUCUGAAUCGUCGAAUCUUUCUGAAUCUCUCCAAAUCAAAUCAGCGACUGAAGCUUCGCAUAGCCCUAUUACAGAUGGUCCCAAACAAAUUCAAUUACAGAUUCCAUUGGCACAGGGGACAUAGCUAGACUAUGGGUUUGAUCUCGAUCUGUCGUGGCCAGUCCACAUCUCACCUCUGUGGCCCCUUGUUUCCCCUCAGUCUCAUGCUACAUGAGGUCUCUGUGACCUUCAAGGCCUCCCAUUCCACACAGCCACAUCCUAACCACCCUGCUGCUCCAACCACCCUUAUUCUCUUUGCCCAAGGCCCCACAUCACCCUUUGCACUGUGCUGACUUCCACUGCAAACUCAUGCUGCUUUCUCUACCCUGAUAGUCCCUGCAGCCACUACAGUCACCAUCCUGUCCUAAGCCCAUUUACUGCAGGCUCAUAACCCUUUACUUCCCUUCUCAUGUUCACUUCUGCUUCCCGCUUACUGCUGUUCAUUAAUACACAUAACUUUUAUGCUCUAUGAAAAAAAAUGUAUAAAAUUGAAACUUUCACUAUAAGAAAUAAGAAAAUGUAUCUAAUAGUGUUGGGGUGCUGCUGUAGCCAUGUUGGUCCAGGAAAUAUGUCAGAGGCAAGGAUUUUUGUGGAUGAUACCUUUUUUUGGCCUAACUGCAUGGAAAAAUUGGCAGUCUGUUUUUCAUCUUUGUUGAGCCUGGUUUUUCCUCAGACGUGAAAAAGAAUGCAGUGCAUUCAAAAGCUUGUCUAAGGGCCUUGUUAUAUGUUAAUUUUAAGUGGCUCCUGGAGGUCUUAACACCUGGAUUGUCCACACAUUAUCACCUGAAACUAGUUUUAAGCACUCUAGGCAACUUAAAAGUUACACCACUCCAGCCUUGGUUCAUCUCUGAUAGUGUUACUGACCUCAUGUUACACUAACAUGUAGCCACUCUAGGCUACACAUUAGUGUAAACACCCCCACUCACCCAUCUACCGCCACUGACCUGGAUUGGGCCCACUGCCUCUACCCCACCCUCCCCAGAUCCCCACUCACUGUCCCCCUGUCCAUUUGUGGCUGCCCAUGCUGUCUGUCCCAGGGAAAACAGGCAUGGAAGGGCUAACCUGCCUACCUGGUUGCAACCACCGCAGCUGCUGUUCUCUUCCCUGCCUGCUUCCCUGAGACAGAGGGCAUGGGCAGCCACAAGGUUGGGGAAGGAUGGGAGCUGGAGAGCAGAGGGAACCCCAGGGGCAAGGUGGGAACCCCGGGGGGAGAGGGGGAGCCUGAAAUGGGAGGCAGAGAGGAGAAUGCUUAUUCUUUAGUCCUCCAGGCCCCUGCUGGCCUGAAAGUGUGACUUCUUCAAACUCGAGCUAGCACUAACACCUAUCAACAUUUGAGCAGUUCAUGUGUAACAAGGCCCUAAGCCAAUAAAAGAUAUCAACUACAAAAACUCUUGCCUCUUGAAAUGUAUUUGAGCAACUUUAGUCAUGAAUAGGUCCCCAAAACUAAUUUAAGGCAAUGAUUAAAAUUUAGACCAACCCUCAAUAUGCAGGCCUUUCUGUUGAAAUAAAACAUGUACAUUCAUGGGUUCCUAACAAUACGCAGCAAAUUCCCACUCUGGAAUGAUAUCAUCAUGUCAUAUGUACACUGGUAAAACUCUGGUAUUUGUAGGGAGACAAAUGAGAGAUUGUUGAAAAGAACUCAGUGUGUGCAUUGAGAGGUUGUAUGUUGGAAGUGGAAGGAGUAUGUUGUGCUGGUAAGUCAGUGCAUCUGCUUUACUAUGACAUUUGAAUGGUAAAAAAUUGAGGUUGGCCUGGACACGGAUGUUCCUUUAACUGUUGAGUUACUGGAUUUUUAGGGAUUGUGUUACCAGGCAACACAUAAGGAACUUUAAGUGUCAGUUCUAUGUUGUCAUUAUGUAGACUGUGAAUCAAAGAACAUGAGACAGACGCAUAGUUUUAGAACAAUAGAAUUUAUCUAUUACUAUAUAAAAUAUAGUUGAAAUGUUUAAUUUGUUUUUUAACAAUUUUCCAUAUAGGUUCCUCUGUAUAAAAUAUAUUGUUACAAUUUCCUUAUCCAGAGGUAGCCACCAUGUUACUGGAACAUCAGUGUCUGAAUUUAGAUGGCUGCUAACAAUCUAAUGAAAAAUGUCAAAUACAUAUAAAUUCAGAAAUUUCAUCUAUAGCGCACCAAAAAUCUCUGCUGCAUGUUCUCUGGCCCCUAGUACAUAUAACUAAAAAUAAUACUAAUAAUGGAGAUGGAUUUUAAAUAGAAAAUUAUAUCCAGAGUAUCUAGCAAUCAGUGUUCUUUUAAAUAUCUUAGCCAUUUUAGAAAUUACACUAACAACAGGCUUAAAAUCCUGUUAAUAAAUGUAGGCUUCUAUUUUAGAAAGGCUUUUGGAUAUUGUACUAAAAAAAAAAAAAAAGGUUAUGCCAGAGAAUAGAAAUUAGAGGCUUCAAUAAUACUUCAGUGUAUUGGUAGACAAUUUUACAUCUUAAAAAAAAAAGAAAAACUGCAAAAUGUUUUGCAGCAACAUGUUUAUGAUUCACUUCUACUGGGGUGAGUUUAGGAAACUGCCAACUGAUAACAACUAGUCUGAACUAUAUAAUCUUUGGUAACAGGGAAAAUUGGGCAUUACUUUUGGGGAGAGAAAUAUAUAUUGGGGAUGUUUUAAGUGUGAUUGAACAGAAGGACUUGAUAGUUAUCUGGCCUGUGUAAAGAUGUUUUCUUACUAGAGCUUCCAUCACCUUCUCUACCAACUUCUGAGUAUUUGUUACGCCUAUUUUUGCACCUCUUCUAUUUCAUUGCUUAAUGACAUUAAUUACCCUAUUGCAGACACUGCACCAGAGUCCUGUACGAUGCCAAGCCAAAGGGAGCCUUUUCCCUGACUGGGUCCUGAGCAUAACAAAUAAAACUACUGCAAUAAUAAUACUGCAGCAAAUAAUGUAUUUUUAUAAAACAAAGCUCACAUAAAUGCUGGGCAAAAGAAAGGCACUGUCUUCCCUACCCCCUUCAGCUGUUAUGUGGCCCUGGUAAGUACUGUAUGUGCAUUCAGUGUUCUUGUUUGUAGCUACUACUGUUUUACAGCCCUCUGUGUGAUUACCCAGAGCCUCCAAAAAAUCCCAGCGCGUACUCCUUUGACCACAGGCUACCGCAGCAGGCUCAACAAAUAAUUCUUCUGAGUGGGAGUUAAACAGAGGAAGGAAGAUGAAGGCAAAACUCAGGGAAGGAAACAAAGAUAAAACAUACAUACACAUUAGACCAAGAGGAGAAAGGAAGAAACAGAAGUGACUAAGGGGAGAGAUGAGGUGAGACAGAAAUGCCUUUAUGCAUCUGAACUACACAAGAAGAACAGGGCAGGCAAAAGGCUUCUCAUCCCCUCCAUUCAUACACAUUGAACUAAGGAUAGCUUCAGAGCUGAUGGCGCUUUCUGUAGUCCAUGAUUCGUCACUGUCUGAUUCUUCAUAGUCUACUUCUUCCUCAUCAUAUUCACUACCUAAAUAGGUUGGUGAGAUAAAGCAAGACUAAGGUGUGGGAAUAAAUUGCAUUGUGUGGCUGCCCUGACCAGACCAGACCAGACCAGACCAGACCACCAGACAUUCCAGAUAGGCGACCACGGCUGUUUGAGCAGCUGGUGCCGAGUUUAUUUAUUUUGUUAAGAUUCCAGUAACUAUUAAUAAAAUUUGGUGAAGAAGUUAAAUGCGAAACAAGAGAAAUUGGGAAGGCAGGAUUUCAGCUAUAAAAAAGAUGACGAUUGGGCUCCAAGCGCUGGAAUAAUUCCCAUUGUUCAAGACGGACUUUAUAAUUUUUAUACCACUCCUUUCAGUUGUUUCCUUCACUCGGUCUGUGUGUACAAUGUCUGUAAACAGCUCUGUAGUCUAAGGAGAAAAUGCAGACAGAAAACUCAUGUUUCAGUGUCUGAGUCUUCAUUUUUUAUUUCAUGUGAAAUUAAAUACACACCUAUAGAUGGAAAUUUUUCCUGCUUGAUUUCUUUCACUUUUCCUUUUCUCACUCUCUCUUAAUCUACCCUUUAUUCAUGAGUAAAGAUGCGUGUCAGCUGGUAGCUGUAAGUACUUAGGGAUACUGAGCUUUAAUCAGAUAUUGUAAGUUAGCUCACAGAUGUCAGGCUCUGCUAGUUUCUUUCCUGUGGUUUUCAUUCGUACAGGGUGGUGUGCAGAUGAGGGGAGAUGGAUUGUUUCCCACCAUUAACGCAUAUAGACGCAUACAUACACAUUCACUCACUCUGCAAAAACAUCUGGAAAACUCACCGCUAUUGACUGCAAUUUCUUAUCCCACACAGAAUAAUUGAAAA